rnacentral:rRNA from 1 species
GACGAACGCUGGCGGCGUGCUUAACACAUGCAAGUCGAACGGAAAGGCCCUGCUUUUGUGGGUUGCUCGUUUGGCGAACGGGUUAGUAACACGUGUGUAACCUGCCCUUUUCUUUGUUAUAACUUCUGUAAACUUGGGCUAAUACCUUAUAUGAGCUCCUGCUGCAUGGUGGUGGUUGGAAAGUUUCGGCGGUUGGGGAUGGACUCGCUGCUUAUCAGCUUGUUGGUGGGGUAGUGGGUUACCAAGGGUUUGACGGGUAGCCGGCCUGAGAGGGUUACCGGAAACAAUGGGACUGAGAUAGGGACCAGAAGGGAACGGGAGGCAGCAGGGGGGAAUAUAGCAAAAUGGGCGGAAGGAUGAUGCAGAAAAGCAGCGGGCGGGAUGAAGGGAUGCGGGUUGUAAACAGAGUUAGACUGAGAAGAAGAGUGAGUGACGGUAAUGGGUAAAGAAGCAACGGCUAACUACGUG